AGAUAAUUAGUUUAAAAAAGACAUUUGAUUUCGGCUCAAAAGCUUGUGGUUAAAACCCACAAUUAUCCA